ACGGGAGGCAGCAGUGGGGAAUAUUGGGCAAUGGGGGCAACCCUGACCCAGCAACGCCGCGUGAAGGAAGAAGGCUUUCGGGUUGUAAACUUCUUUGACGAGGGACGAUAAUGACGGUACCUCGAAAACAAGCCACGGCUAACUACGUGCCAGCAGCCGCGGUAAUACGUAGGGGGCAAGCGUUAUCCGGAUUUACUGGGUGUAAAGGGAGCGUAGACGGUCUUGCAAGUCUGAUGUGAAAGGCAGGGGCUCAACUCCUGGACUGCAUUGGAAACUGUGAGUCUUGAGUGCCGGAGAGGUAAGCGGAAUUCCUAGUGUAGCGGUGAAAUGCGUAGAUAUUAGGAGGAACACCAGUGGCGAAGGCGGCUUACUGGACGGUAACUGACGUUGAGGCUCGAAAGCGUGGGGAGCAAACAGGAUUAGAUACCCUGGUA
rnacentral:rRNA from 1 species